rnacentral:rRNA from 1 species
GCACAAGCGGUGGAGCAUGUGGUUUAAUUCGAUGCAACGCGAAGAACCUUACCUGGGCUUGACAUCCCGGGAAUCCCCUGGGAAACAGGGGAGUGCCCGUUCGGGGAACCCGGUGACAGGUGCUGCAUGGCUGUCGUCAGCUCGUGUCGUGAGAUGUUGGGUUAAGUCCCGCAACGAGCGCAACCCUCGUCAUUAGUUGCUACAUUCAGUUGGGCACUCUAAUGAGACUGCCGGUGACAAGCCGGAGGAAGGUGGGGAUGACGUCAAGUCCUCAUGGCCCUUAUAGGUGGGGCUACACACGUCAUACAAUGGCUGGUACAAAGGGUUGCCAACCCGCGAGGGGGAGCUAAUCCCAUAAAGCCAGUCGUAGUCCGGAUCGUAGUCUGCAACUCGACUACGUGAAGUCGGAAUCGCUAGUAAUCGUGGAUCAGAAUGUCACGGUGAAUACGUUCCCGGGUCUU